CUCGUGUCCGUAUUAUGUAGUGACUCUGUAUAACUUUGGGCUGAUCGCACGGGCUCGUCCCGGCGACGUAUCUUUCAGGUGUCUGCCUUUAUCAACUGUCGAUGGUAGGUUACGCGCCUAUCAUGGUCGUAAAGGGUGAUGGGGAAUCAUGGUUCGAUUCUGGAGACGUAGCCUGAGAAACGGCUACCACAUCCAAGGAAGGCAGCAGGCGCGCAAAUUGGUCACUCCCAGAACAGGGAGGUAGUGACGAAAAAUAACAAUACGGGACUCUUUUGAGACCCCGUAAUUGGAAUGAGUACACUCUAAAUCCUUUAACGAGGAUCAAUAUGAAAGCAAGUCUGGUGCCAGCAGCCGCGGUAAUUUCAGCUCCAAUAG
rnacentral:ncRNA from 1 species